CAAAGUUCCUCCGAUGACUUGGUGGGCAGCUUCCGGGAAACCAAAGCAUUUGGGUUCCGGGGGAAGUAUGGUUGCAAAGCUGAAACUUAAAGGAAUUGACGGAAGGGCACCACCAGGAGUGGAGCCUGCGGCUUAAUUUGACUCAACACGGGAAACCUCACCAGGCCCGGACACCGGAAGGAUUGACAGAUUGAGAGCUCUUUCUUGAUUCGGUGGGUGGUGGUGCAUGGCCGUUCUUAGUUGGUGGAGCGAUUUGUCUGGUUAAUUCCGAUAACGAACGAGACUCUAGCCUACUAAAUAGACGUACUUUAUUACCGGCAUCUCAAGGCCCAUCGGCUGUAUUGUUACUGAAUGUUAUAUGUAUAUUUUGUU
rnacentral:rRNA from 1 species